UCCUCCUCCUCCUCCUCCUUCUUCAUGUUCUUGUUCUUGUUCUUGUUCUCCUCCAUGAGCCCAGGCCCAGGACCCAACUGUGAUUGCCCUGAAAAUCUCUUACUACUAUCACCAAAAUUCAAUAUCUCCCUGGACUCCGGCUUACAAGAAAUUCCAGUUUUAUUCCUAUUACUACUUCCAUCAAAUCCAUAACCCGAAAAAUUCAACUCCUUUGUGAAAAAUCCUUGACAAUGCUGCUGCUGAUUUUCAGAAUUCUCAUUUCCAUACACAAGUUGAACAUCCCUACUACUACUAUGAAUUAACGAAUCCUUAGGUUCCACAACCGAGGAAGAUGGAUCCGUAAGCCAAAGGGCCGAAGGAUCGGGCUCAGGAUGCACAGCACAAGAGCCUGAGCCCGAACCUGAGCCUGUAACAGACCCCAUAUCAAUAUUGAAGUUAAACAAAUACUUAACCUUGUUCAUCAAAUCCGAGCUUUGGAAUAUCAGCUCAGUCGAACCAAGCUCCACUACACCGUUAGCUGAAGGAAUACACACAAUCGUCUGAAGCCCGAAACCUUGGGCUUGCCUGGCCCGUUCACAUUGAGAAGCAGCUAAUUUCUCUGUUCCAGUAACCCAAAUUGGGCUUGAACUGUACAUCGCCAAGCCCGGAAGCCCGUUACCGUUAACAAACGAUUGGGUCAUUGAAAUCAGAAAAAACCAUUCAGUAUCCGUCACUUCCUCAUCCACUGCAUCAUCAGUUCCGUUUCCGGCGGAAGCUUGUACACCGGAUAUUAAUGAAUUCAGCUCCCGAAGCACCUUCUUUCUAUGCUCUUGCUCAGCAACAAAAUUAGCUGCUGAACUAGACGACCCUCUCCGUUUAUUCUUAUCUUCUUCUCCUUUAUAAUACCCAUCUCCCCAACCCAAUACAGUUUGGCUCGCAAAAUCAACAACUGACGAUUGCCAGAAAAUAGCAUAUGCCCAUGAUUCACGAGCACCGUCAAUUAAAGCCUGAAGCCUUUGCUGUAGUGACUCUUGAUUGAAAAACGGCAUCGUUUCUCCGACUCCGUUCACCGGAGUCGGACGAUUGGGAGUGGAAGCAGGCCAAAAAGAGGAUGGAUCGGAAGAUAAAAAAGAAUCCAUCAUCAUAGUAUCAUCACAUGUAUUAGUAGUAUUGGUAUUACUCCAUAAUCUAUAGUCCGUCAUUCAAUUAAAUUGAAGAAUUUUACAAAAAACAGAAAAUGAGAGAUUUU
rnacentral:misc_RNA from 1 species